GAUGAACGCUGGCGGCGUGCCUAAUACAUGCAAGUCGAGCGAACAGACGAGGAGCUUGCUCCUCUGACGUUAGCGGCGGACGGGUGAGUAACACGUGGAUAACCUACCUAUAAGACUGGGAUAACUUCGGGAAACCGGAGCUAAUACCGGAUAAUAUAUUGAACCGCAUGGUUCAAUAGUGAAAGACGGUUUUGCUGUCACUUAUAGAUGGAUCCGCGCCGCAUUAGCUAGUUGGUAAGGUAACGGCUUACCAAGGCAACGAUGCGUAGCCGACCUGAGAGGGGUGUCGGCCACACUGGAACUGAGGCCCGGUCCAAACUCCUACGGGAAGCAACAGUAGGGAAUCUUCCGCAAUGGGCGAAAGCUUGACGGGGCAAAGCCGCGUGAGGGAUGAAGGUCUUCGGAUCGUAAAACUCUGUUAUUAGGGAAGAACAAAUGUGUAAGGAACUAUGCACGUCUUGACGGUACCUAAUCAGAAAGCCACGGCUAACUACGUU
rnacentral:rRNA from 1 species